rnacentral:rRNA from 1 species
UACGGGGGGGGCAAGCGUUGUUCGGAAUUACUGGGCGUAAAGGGCGUGUAGGCGGCCAACUAAGUCCGACGUGAAAUCCCCAGGCUUAACCUGGGAACUGCGUCGGAUACUGGAUGGCUUGAAUCCGGGAGAGGGAUGCAGAGUUCCUGGUGUAGCGGUGAAAUGCGCAGAUAUCAGGAAGAACACCCGUGGCUAAGGCGGCUCUCUAGUACGGUACUGACGCUGAGACGCGAAAGCAUGGGGAGCGAACAGG